AUUGAACGCUGGCGGAAUGCUUUACACAUGCAAGUCGAACGGCAGCAUAGGUGCUUGCACCUGAUGGCGAGUGGCGAACGGGUGAGUAAUACAUCGGAACGUGCCCAGUCGUGGGGGAUAACGUAGCGAAAGUUACGCUAAUACCGCAUACGAUCUAAGGAUGAAAGCGGGGGACCGUAAGGCCUCGCGCGAUUGGAGCGGCCGAUGUCAGAUUAGGUAGUUGGUGAGGUAAAGGCUCACCAAGCCGACGAUCUGUAGCUGGUCUGAGAGGACGACCAGCCACACUGGGACUGAGACACGGCCCAGACUCCUACGGGAGGCAGCAGUGGGGAAUUUUGGACAAUGGACGCAAGUCUGAUCCAGCCAUUCCGCGUGCAGGACGAAGGCCUUCGGGUUGUAAACUGCUUUUGUACGGAACGAAAAAGCUCUUACUAAUACUAGGAGUCCAUGACGGUACCGUAAGAAUAAGCACCGGCUAACUACGUGCCAGCAGCCGCAGUAA
rnacentral:rRNA from 1 species